CCUACGGGACGCAGCAGUGGGGAAUAUUGGGCAAUGGAGGAAACUCUGACCCAGCGACGCCGCGUGCGGGAUGAAGGCCUUCGGGUUGUAAACCGCUUUCAGCAGGGAAGAAGCGAAAGUGACGGUACCUGCAGAAGAAGCACCGGCUAACUAUGUGCCAGCAGCCGCGGUAAUACAUAGGGUGCAAGCGUUGUCCGGAAUUAUUGGGCGUAAAGAGCUCGUAGGUGGUUCGUCACGUCGGAUGUGAAAAUCUGGGGCUUAACCCCAGACCUGCAUUCGAUACGGGCGAGCUUGAGUAUGGUAGGGGAGUCUGGAAUUCCUGGUGUAGCGGUGGAAUGCGCAGAUAUCAGGAGGAACACCAAUGGCGAAGGCAGGACUCUGGGCCAUUACUGACACUGAGGAGCGAAAGCGUGGGGAGCGAACAGGAUUAGAUACCCUGGUAGUCCACGCCGUAAACGGUGGGCACUAGUUGUGGGGACCUUCCACGGUCUCUGCGACGCAGCUAACGCAUUAAGUGCCCGCCUGGGGGUACCGAGUCGCAAGAUUAAAACUUAAGUAGUUAAUUGACGGCGUUGAGACGNGCCGACGGACGACGACGAGGGAGGAGG
rnacentral:rRNA from 1 species